AAAAAAAACAUAGAUGAGCAGAGCUGGCCCCGUGAUCCCGAAUCCUGCCAAUUCUUGUUCACGGGAUCUAAACCUGCGGUUCUUGCCUCAAAGACUCUCUCUCUAUAUAACAGAGGUAACCCGGCCACAAAUCUACCAACAAGUGUAGUGCUCUGAGAUAGUAUAUAUACAACGUGCAGACACAAGUGGACAGAUCGACUGCUGCUGCUGCUGAUUUUUUUUGUGAUGGAGAUGGCGAAGAGGCAGCUGGUGGUGUUGCUAUUGGUGGUGGUUGCUUUGUUCGAGGGCUCACGGGCAGUGAGCGUGUGUGACAUUAGUGAGGAUGGUCUCGCAGCCUGCAAGCCAUCUGUGACCAAACCAGACCCAGUUGAGCCGCCAUCAGUUGAUUGUUGCAAGGCUGUUUCUGGGGCUAACUUCACAUGCCUUUGCUCUUAUAAGAACUCAUACCUGUUGCCUUAUCUCGGCAUCGAUCCUGAUCUUGCCAUGGCUUUGCCUUCCAAGUGCAACCUCAGCACUGCUGUGCCUAGCUGCUAAUUAAGGUAUGAAAAACCAUUUCAAACAGAAGAGGGGACGGUCAAGCUAUGGAUAAAGCUUAGCUGGCUUCGGAAACAAUGCUCGUUGGUUCAUUUUCAUGGAGGAAAUAUGUUCUCUUUCCAUUGUAACUGUGUGGUGGGUGUCAUUUGUAGUGUGAUAAGCCUCGUUUGAUAAAGACAUUUUCAUUUUGGUUCC